rnacentral:rRNA from 1 species
GAUGAACGCUAGCUACAGGCUUAACACAUGCAAGUCGAGGGACGGGCGCACGGGUGAGUAACACGUAACCACCCUGCCCUGUACUCGGAGAUAGCCUUUCGAAAGCAAGAUUAAUACCCGAUAUAAUGGAUGGGGAUGCGUUCCAUUAGGUUGUGGGUGAGGUAACGGCUGACCAAGCCUUCGAUGGAUAGGGGUUGGGAGAGGAAGGUCCCCCACAUUGGAACUGAGGCACGGUCCAAACUCCUACGGGAGGGAGGAGUGUAGAAUAUUGGGCAAUGGGCGCUAGCCUGAACCAGCCAAGUAGCGUGAAGGAUGAAGGGUUAUGGGUCGUAAACUUCUUUUAUAUAAGAAUCUGUAUUAUAUGAAUAAGGAUCGGCUAACUCCGUGCCAGCAGCCGCGGUAAUAC